GAAUAAGACUGAUUUUAUGGGAAAAUUAAGCAAAUGCUCCAGUUUGAGAAACCUGGAUCUGCGAUCUGUUUGUGGUACCAGCAUCAAGAUGAUUUAUGGUAAUAAGAUAUAAAACCAAGGAAAAUAACCUAAAGUCUGAAAAAGACCAGAAUCGAAGUUUCCUGAUUCAUAUUUUAAUGUUUUGAAAUUUAUACUCCAGGCUGGGUGCAGUGGCUUGUGCCUGUAAUCCCAGCACUUUGGGAGGCCGAGGCGGCCGGAUUGCCUGAAGUCAGAAGUUCAAGACCAGCCUGACCAACACGGUGAAACCCUGUCUCUACUUAAAAAUACGAAAGAGCUGGGCAUGGAGGUGGUGCGCGCCUGUAACCCUAGCUACUCGGGAGGCUGAGGCCUAAGAAUCUCUUGAACCCAGGAGGCAGAGGUUGUAGUGAGCCGGGAUCACGCCACUGCACUCUAGCCUGGGCGACAGAGAGAGAGACUGUCUUAAAAAAAAAAAAAAAAAAAAAGGAAAAGAAAAAAAUUUAUACGCCAAAAAAGAUAUUCUGAGAUAACCUGUAGUUACCACUAACUUUGUGACAAAAUUAUAAAAAUCCACAGCCAUCUAUGAAUCUGUAGGCAGACCUGAAGUUUGAACAACUGGUGAAGACAUCUGAUUUUCUUUAUAGCCAAGUUAGGAUAACAAAAUGCAAACAAGUCAUUAAUAUUUACUAUAUGCAAGAUACAGAAAGAUGAAGGAAGGAGUAAGAAGUUAUCCUUCGUGGAACUAUUCAAAGCAAAAAUGCAAAAUACCAGGGAAAGCUUUGAAGAACCAAGAUUUGAGCAGGUUCUUAGAAUAUAGAUUGGAUUGGAUUUGAUUUCAAGAAAGAUGAACAUGUAAAGCAGAAGUGGGAAGCCAAAAACUUUUUUCCAAAUUAGAAUUAAGCAUUCUUUCAAUGAACACUUGGAAAUCAAGGUAGAAAAAUAUCCCUAGGGCCUAGCUGAGGAGUCUGUAUGUUGUUGGGUUUUGAUAGUAACCAGUCCAAGAUUUUAUUAUUAGACAUGGGUUUCUGAAUAGACAGGCAUUUCUGAACAGACAUGACAGGAUCAAAACAAUGUUUGAGCAAACUGCCCUUCAUCUACUGUGGAUAUGUUGGGGGAUGAUGGAAUAUAGUGAAAGAUAACGGGUGCUCAUACAGCAGUCUAGACUUAAGGUGAUUCAACUACUAUAUAUUAAACUAGAUUAUCUUUUAUUUUUUAAUUUUGAAAUCUGGAUGCUCAAGCUCUGCCUGCACAACCACAUGAGGAAGAAGGAACAAUGACAACAAAAAUAACACUAAAUUUAAAUUUAAGAGUACUACUUUUAGGAAAUAGACAAACCAUUAUUUGGGUACAACUAAAGGCAACUGGCAUGGACUCAAAUAUUUUGGGGAAGAAAAAGACUAAAAGAGAUCUAAGGAAGAAAAUGCGAACCUUGAUAGUUUGAAAUAGUUAAAAAGACAGUGUAGAAACUGCUUAGGCAGUUUGAUUAUGGACUAUUAGAUGAUACUUGGGUCUGAUAAUGGUAUAAGGAGAAUGAAGUAUUUAGGGAUCCAAUAUUACGCCUGCAGCUUUUUUCAAAUAGUUCAUGGGGGAGGGGGAUGUGUAAGUGGUUAACUGAAGUCUAACUAGAUAGGUUUGUUGUAAGCUUAGGAUGUUUACAGUUCUUCAUGUUAAGUUGAGUGUGAUGGGAAGGGAAAGAAUACUGAUCUUUAAAUUUUUGUCCUUAGUUAAGUUCUGUAUUUAGUGAAUUAAUUGCAUCCUAAAAAGUCAAACUUGAAAAGCACAUUUUAAAUGGCAAAUCUAUUUUUUACAUGUUUGUGAAGUUUUUAUUUUUUAGUAAACAGACCAUCAGAAGAGAACAAUGAUACAGAGCAGGGGUCAGCAGAUGGAUUUUGUAAAGCAUCAACUUGUAAAUAUUUUCAAGUUUAUUAGCUGUAUGGCUCUGGUUUCUGUUCCCUGUUCCAAAUGUUAAAGUCUACUGUUGUAUUCUAAAAGCAGCCAUGGACUGAAUGUAGCUGUGUUCCAAUAAAACUUACACAAAAGCAGGCAGUGGGCCAUAAUUUGCAACACCUGAUUCACAGCAUAAUUUUGUCACAAACUGAAAGUGUUCCUCAA
rnacentral:lncRNA from 1 species